GACGAACGCUGGCGGCGUGCCUAAUACAUGCAAGUUGAGCGCUGAAGGUUGGUUCUUGUUCCUACUGGAUGAACAGCGAACGGGUGAGUAACGCGUGGGGAAUCUGCCUUUGAGCGGGGGACAACAUUUGGAAACGAAUGCUAAUACCGCAUAAAAACUUUAAACACAAGUUUUAAGUUUGAAAGAUGCAAUUGCAUCACUCAAAGAUGAUCCCGCGUUGUAUUAGCUAGUUGGUGAGGUAAAGGCUCACCAAGGCGAUGCUACAUAGACGAACUGAGCGGGUGAUAGGCCACAUUGGGACGGGGACACGGACCAAACGACUAAGAGAGGCAGCAGAAGGGAACGGGAGGCAACAGAGGAAAGUAUUACCGAGUAACGCCGAGUGAGAGAAGAAGGUUGUCGGAUCGUAAAACUCGGUUGGUAGAGAAGAACGGUGGUGAGAGUGGAAAGCGCAUGAAGUGACGGUAACUACACAGAAAGGGACGGCUAACUACGUG
rnacentral:rRNA from 1 species